rnacentral:rRNA from 1 species
GAGUUUGAUCAUGGCUCAGAACGAACGCUGGCGGCAGGCCUAACACAUGCAAGUCGAGGGGGAAGCCACUUUCGGGUGGUGGAGACCGGCGCACGGGUGAGUAACGCGUGGGAAUUUACCUUGGAGUGGGAAUAACCGCUGGAAACGGCGGCUAAUACCGCAUACGCCCUUAUGGGGAAAGCUUUAGCGCUCUGGGAUGAGCCCGCGUUAGAUUAGGUAGUUGGUGGGGUAAAGGCCUACCAAGCCUGCGAUCUAUAGCUGGUCUGAGAGGAUGAUCAGCCACACUGGGACUGAGACACGGCCCAGACUCCUACGGGAGGCAGCAGUGGGGAAUAUUGGACAAUGGGGGCAACCCUGAUCCAGCCAUGCCGCGUGCGUGAAAAAAGGCCUAGGGUUGUAAANGCGCUUUCCCCUGGUG